rnacentral:lncRNA from 1 species
AAACUUGAAGAAUCACAAGUUUGAUACUCUUGCGACCCCUGAGGGUCAUCUGCAAUCUCGCACGGCAUCCAAUAGUGUGUAUGUAUGAUGUAGAAUGAAAGUAAACACUAGAACAAUAAUGUAGAGACAUAAUUUUUUUUUUUUUAAUUUUAUAAGAGCUGUGUUUCACAAUCAGUUCGAUCGGCUAGUUUCAAAUUCGACUGAUGUAAAUCGUCAGUUAUACGGCGCGAUUGCUCUGACAACUGAAAUGAAUCUGAUCUUGAUCGGCCUUGGCUGUUCUUCAGCAUGAUUGGGCUAUGAAUGCGUGGCCUCGGAGGAUGCCUUGGGCUUGGAGCAGUCAUAGCAAAAAUUCAAGAAAGGGAGACAAAUUCGGAUAAGGGAAACUGACAUGUCCAGCCCCCCCGCCGGCUUGGAAUUGCUUUUACUCGAAUGAGAUUUUCCAACAACCCCGUCAUUUCAGGUCCAUGUUUUUUAGGCAUUUUGUUCUUCUUUGGCAAAAUACCAGCAUUCGUCCAUCGCAUUUUGUCACCAAAUCUUUAUUUCUUUACUGGCUAACAACACAUCUCAAUUUAUAUCUUU